UAAUAGAUGAGCCUAAGUCGGAUUAGCUAGUUGGUGGGGUAAAGGCCUACCAAGGCGACGAUCUGUAGCGGGUCUGAGAGGAUGAUCCGCCACCCUGGGAAUGAGACACGGCCCAGACUCCUACGGGAGGCAGCAGUGGGGAAUAUUGGACAAUGGGGGGAACCCUGAUCCAGCCAUGCCGCGUGUGUGAAGAAGGCCUUAUGGUUGUAAAGCACUUUAAG
rnacentral:rRNA from 1 species